rnacentral:rRNA from 1 species
UACGUAGGGUGCAAGCGUUAAUCGGAAUUACUGGGCGUAAAGCGUGCGCAGGCGGUUGUGCAAGACCGAUGUGAAAUCCCCGGGCUUAACCUGGGAAUGGCAUUGGUGACUGCACGGCUAGAGUGUGUCAGAGGGGGGUAGAAUUCCACGUGUAGCAGUGAAAUGCGUAGAUAUCAGGAGGAAUACCGAUGGCGAAGGCAGGUCUCUGGGCUAUAACUGACGCUCAGGCACGAAAGCGUGGGAGCAAACAGG